rnacentral:rRNA from 1 species
UACCAGCUCUCCGAGUGGUAGGGAUGAUUAUUGGGCUUAAAGCGUCCGUAGCCGGCUUAGCAAGUCUCCUGUUAAAUUCAGCGACCUAAUCGUUGAGCCGCGGGAGAUACUACUAGGCUAGGAGGCGGGAGAGGUCAACGGUACUUCCGGGGUAGGGGUGAAAUCCUAUAAUCCCGGGAGGACCACCAGUGGCGAAGGCUGUUGACUAGAACGCGCUCGACGGUGAGGGACGAAAGCUGGGGGAGCGAACCGGAUUAGAUACCCGGGUAGUCCCAGCUGUAAACGAUGCGAGCUAGGUGUUGGGGUGGCUACGUGCCACUUCAGUGCCGCAGGGAAGCCGUUAAGCAUGCCGCCUGGGAAGUACGAUCGCAAGAUUGAAACUUAAAGGAUUGGCGGGGAGCACCACCAGGCGUGAAGCCUGCGGUUU